UACGUAGGGUGCAAGCGUUAAUCGGAAUUACUGGGCGUAAAGCGUGCGCAGGCGGUUGUGCAAGACAGAUGUGAAAUCCCCGGGCUUAACCUGGGAAUUGCAUUUGUGACUGCACGGCUAGAGUGUGUCAGAGGGGGGUAGAAUUCCACGUGUAGCAGUGAAAUGCGUAGAGAUGUGGAGGAAUACCGAUGGCGAAGGCAGCCCCCUGGGAUAACACUGACGUUCAUGCUCGAAAGCGUGGGUAGCAAACAGG
rnacentral:rRNA from 1 species